AUUGAACGCUGGCGGCAGGCUUAACACAUGCAAGUCGAGCGGGGAAGGGUAGCUAGCUACCUAACCUAGCGGCGGACGGGUGAGUAAUGCUUAGGAAUCUGCCAUUUAGUGGGGGACAACAUCCCGAAAGGAAUGCUAAUACCGCAUACGUCCUACGGGAGAAAGCAGGGGAGCUGCGGACCUUGCCAUAAAUGAUGAGCCUCAGUCGGAUUAUCGAGUUGGUGGGGUAAAGGCCUACCAAGGCGACGAUCUGUAGCGGGUCUGAGAGGAUGAUCCGCCACACUGGGACUGAGACACGGCCCAGACUCCAACGGGAGGCAGCAGUGGGGAAUAUUGGACAAUGGGCGGAAGCCUGAUCCAGCCAUGCCGCGUGUGUGAAGAAGGCCUUAUGGUUGUAAAGCACUUUAAGCGAGGAGGAGGCUACUUAGAUUAAUACUCUAGGAUAGUGGACGUUACUCGUAGCAUAAGCACCGGCUAACUCUGUGCCAGCAGCCGCGGUAA
rnacentral:rRNA from 1 species